rnacentral:rRNA from 1 species
GAUGAACGCUGGCGGCGUGCCUAAUACAUGCAAGUCGAGCGAACGGACGAGAAGCUUGCUUCUCUGAUGUUAGCGGCAGACGGGUGAGUAACACGUGGAUAACCUACCUAUAAGACUGGGAUAACUUCGGGAAACCGGAGCUAAUACCGGAUAAUAUUUUGAACCGCAUGGUUCAAAAGUGAAAGACGGUCUUGCUGUCACUUAUAGAUGGAUCCGCGCUGCAUUAGCUAGUUGGUAAGGUAACGGCUUACCAAGGCAACGAUGCAUAGCCGACCUGAGAGGGUGAUCGGCCACACUGGAACUGAGACACGGUCCAGACUCCUACGGGAGGCAGCAGUAGGAAAUCUUCCGCAAUGGGCGAAAGCCUGACGGAGCAACGCCGCGUGAGUGAUGAAGGUCUUCGGAUCGUAAAACUCUGUUAUUAGGGAAGAACAUAUGUGUAAGUAACUGUGCACAUCUUGACGGUACCUAAUCAGAAAGCCACGGCUAACUACGUG